CGGAUAAGAGGAAGAAUUCUAACUUGGGUAAUAGAGUACCACUGGUAGUAGAAUUUCAUCCGGCAUUAAAGGAAAUUAAUGGAAUUGUGGAAGCACUUUGGCCGAUUCUGGAGACAUCGGAGAGGAUGAGGGAUGUCUUCGGUAGUAGGCCGAUUGUUUCAUAUAAGAGACCAAAAAAUUUAAAAGAUAGUUUGGUUAGAUCUAAGGUUAAAAAGGCUAGGGAGGUAAGUGUAGGGAUGAGUAAGUGUAAUAAGAGUCGUUGUCAGAUUUGUAAUUAUGUAGAUGAGGGGAAAGAAUUUCUCGAGGGAAAAGUAAAAUACUACAUUAAUUACAACUUUGAUUGCGAUUCGGCUGGGGUGAUUUAUUUGAUUUAUUGUAGAAAAUGUGGGAAAAAGUAUGUGGGGAGUACAAUUACUAG